rnacentral:lncRNA from 1 species
AUUUGUGCCAUCCUUCAACCUUCCAGCCGAGAGGAGCUUGAGAGAAGAAUAAAGAAAUUUCUCUUGUUUUGCUUCCACUUCAACCAAGAGGAACCAGAGAGAGAACACUUAAAGGAAGCUUGUGUCUUACUUCCAUUUCCAGCUUGCUUGAUCGGGUAGAAGGACCAAAACAGGGGAGUUAACUUCUAGCUUGUGUCAAAGGUAACAUGACUUGGAAUUUCAAUUUCUUUCACAUACUUUAAAAGGCUUUUGAUGUAUGUUUGGUUGAGGUUGGAUUGAGGUAGAAACAGGUUGUAGAGACUUGCUUUAUUGCUGGAAAUUUUCCAGCUUGGAUUGAACUAGGAAUAACCAUUUGUUUCUAGUUUUUGGCUCUUGUUUUUCUGCAAGUUACUAGGGAAUCCUUGAAUCCCUUUUGAUAGAUGAAGCUUGGUGUAAAUAUAGCAUCCAGUGAGCUAGUGGUUGGUCAAAUGAAAUUUCCAUAUUUGACCGAGGGAGAAACAUGAGCUCAAUUUACAGCUUUUCUUGUGAAAUUUGAGGAGUUUCCACUAGGAAGUUUGCUAUAAAUGUUAUAUUCUUGUUUCGUAUGAUAUAUAGCAUGCUGUAUUUGAUCUUGGUAGAAAUUGCUGGCUUAGAUGUGAGAUUGGCAGCAAUAAAGUUGAAGUAACUCUUGUGAAAGCUUGAAAUUGUCCGAAGUGGGAGAGAGGAAGAGUUGAGCUUCACCUUUGGUUUUGUUGAAAUUUGAUGCUUAAAUUAUGUUAAAGUUGGAUAUGAAUGUCAUACUUAAGUGUAUGAGUGGUUUGAAUAAAUUUUUUUGUGGUUUUAAAAGAGAAAGGAGUUUUUCACAAGUGAAAAAUGAGUUUCCAGAUUUUUGGCUUUCACUGACCAGUCUCAGUAAAAUGCUUAUAUCUUGAUGUAGAAAAAUCCGAUUGAGGUACCGUCAGUGGCAUCGGAAACUAGACUCAUGGCCUUCGUUCUGUAAAAAUUUCAUAUUUUUCCUCCAGGUGUACUGCUGUCCGUGAUUCCUCAAAGUAGGCUGUCCUGCUUGAAUGUCCUGUUUUUGCAGGAAAACGAAUUUGUAACUUAGAUGAUGAAUCUGCCCUGUUUUUGCACUGCCUGGUUGUCCAUGGUAAAGGCCAAACCAGGUCCUGCUCAGAACAUGAAUUGUAGAUACUUGAGUUAAAUAUAUGCCUGCAAAUUUUCAGCCCAAUUGGAGCAACGUAGCUUGUGAAAAGACUGAAAUACCCCUGCUGCCUUGUUUCUAUCCGAACAUGCUAAUCAGCUUCUGUAAUUGGUUGUUUUGACCAGGAAUACCACUGAUUUGGUUGUUGAUGUCUUCUUAAGACUUAUAGCCUUGAAUCUUAGCUUUCAAAUGGCUUUGGAAUCACUUGAAUUGGAGUUGUAUAUGUUGAGAUAUGACUGAAUGAAUCAGGACUGCCACAGUAAACAUUGAAUUGGAAAAUCUGGGGUUAUUUUGGUAAAUUUGACCUAGCAACAUUGUAAACUGGACUGAGUAGCCUUCAUAAAAUUUGUAUACCUCUGUCUUAGCUUCGUAAUGGUAUAAAUUACACCCCAAUCCGAUAAUCGUAGCACCAGUUGUGUCCAAUACGGUAAAUGACGUCAAAUCUGUUUUUGGGUUUUAGUGUUUAACUUUCAUUUCCGGACUUUCCCUAGCUUACUUUGGUGCUUAUACAUUCUAAUGGAGUCUUAUUUUUGGUAGUAUGUGGAUAUGGGUUAUGACUCGUAAGCGAGUCUCAUUGUGCUUGUUUGAAUGUUUUAGGGCGUGACGGUGGUCCGAAACGCUCGUCGGGUGGGCAAGUGUGAAAAUUCUGUUUGCUUACUGGUGAGUGUACUACUCACAUGAUUGAUACUUCUUGG